GGGGGUGGGGCGGGGGAGGGGCUCUGGAAAGAACUGUAACACUUUAGCUUUGUGCAAAGCAAUUUUCCAUUACAGGAGAACUGAACAGAAAUUGAAACGCGAGGCUCAAUGCCCUGCCGCCCAGCUUGGUGGCUCUGUCGCUCGCUCCCAGACUGCUGCUGGAAGCUUGCCCACUUGGCAGCUUUGAAAGGUCUCACCCUUUCCCUGCGUUUGCAAGUGAAGGGGAGCCAGGGGAGAGCCACAUGACAAUGAGGUUGCCAGUUGACACCUUUGUGAUGUCAGCAGCCUCAGGAGACUGCCUGGCUGAGGGAAAGAGAUUCCUCACCUCUCCUUCUGGGUGGUGUGAGGGUGUUUUAUGUGUCUUGUGUUGUUACAUAGAUUGCCUGUGAUUUAAGGAAACACGAUAGCCACUAUUUACUAUUUACCCUGUGUCAAGAAUGUGAUCCUCCCAGCAACGCAAUGAGUCAUAUUGCAUGACCCUCAUCUUAUGAAUGAAGAAACAGAAGCUCCCAGAGGUGCCACUCGCCCGUGGUCACAGAGCUGAACUCAGGCACGUGGCCACAUCUAACAGCAAGGGAGUCUGGAAAACACAGUUCAGCUGUGUGAAGGAUAUUUAUAAACAUUUAGCAAGAUCCAAAGGAAUGGACCAUAGCACAGCCCUGUUUUCUUUAGACGCUGACUCCUGCUGUCUACCAGAUCCUCGUGGUACAAUGACUGGUGUAGACUGGCUUGUUGAAGUCACUCUCUGGAUCUGAGCAACGCUGGCUGAGCCGUGAUGAAGUAUUCCUAUCCAUCCACUAUGCUUCACAGUGGGAAUCUCUCACUGUUCAUCACCGCUGCCCUAGCAGCCGCAGGGAUUCUUCACCCAUGGUUGCUUAGGUUUAUAAGCAAGGAAGCUGAAUGAAGUCCCUUUCCUCUCUGGAUGAGCCCCUGGGUUUCUGGAAGAGUCUUAAAAUCACCCCUAAAUGGCUUCCAAGCACUGAAGCCCGAGAUGUUAGCUGGCCUGUGUGAGGCCUUGAGACAGAAUGCCACAGCCACACCCCAAGGAUGCUGAAGGGGAUUUCCCUCCUCUGUGGUUUUUCUCCUUUCUUCCCGCAGCACUCCUCCUACGUGCUAACAUCUUCUAGUCAAACAACUCUCCUUUUCAAAGGGACCAGGCACAGUUUCUGCUUAUCCCUGAGUAGCAGUGUUCAGUUUCCUGCCAGCCUGUGGAGUUUUUCAAACAAGCCAAUCACCUCCUCCUGUGGGAACUGAGAAGCACCCCACCCUCUCGAUACUACAAAGCCCCUGCUUGUUCCCUAGUGCAACUCCCAUGUGGUCCUGUGGAGCAUAUGGUAUCUUCCUCUUCUGGGCAGUGAGCAUAUGUGACUAAUAAACUAUCUAUCU
rnacentral:lncRNA from 1 species